rnacentral:misc_RNA from 1 species
UGCUGCGUAACUGCGGCUCGUCUCAAAAGCGUUAGCGCGGCUUUAGAUGAAGCGUUUGAUGCCCAGUGUAAUAAGUAUUUCGCUGUGGUUAGCAUUAGUCUGGAGUUGUUGUGCUCUCUAAUCGUCCUCGAUUGGACUGACCAGCAAUGGUUAUUUGACAACUUGGCCUCAAAUCGGGUAGGACUACCCGCUGAACUUAA